UACGUAGGGUGCGAGCGCUAAUCGGAAUUACUGGGCGUAAAGCGUGCGCAGGCGGUUUUGCAAGCCGGAUGUGAAAUCCCCGGGCUUAACCUGGGAAUGGCAUUUGGGACUGCAAGGCUGGAGUGCGGCAGAGGAGACUGGAAUUCCUGGUGUAGCAGUGAAAUGCGUAGAUAUCAGGAGGAACACCGAUGGCGAAGGCAGGUCUCUGGGCUGACACUGACGCUCAUGCACGAAAGCGUGGGGAGCAAACAGG
rnacentral:rRNA from 1 species